UGAAGCUCCCAAGCUUCCCCGGAAGGUCUGAUGCCCCUACGGUGCCAGGAGGGAGUGCUGGGUGCCAACCAGGCUCUGCUGAGCUACCUCAGCCUCUCCCUUCUGCCCCCUGCUGGCUGACCACAGCCUCACACUGCCCUGACCUCACCCAGCCCUCCUUCCUCAGAGGCCCCAGCCCAAAGCCAAGACCCAGGCAGCAGGACCCAGCUCACCCCCGAGGCCACCAACCCCAGAAGAGACCAAAGCACCAUCACCAGGACCCCAGGACAAUAGUGACACUGAUGGGGAACAGUCAGAAGGACGGGACAAUGGGGCGGAAGAUUCUGGGGACACCGAAGAUGAACUGAGGAGGGUGGCCAAGCAGAGGGAGCAAAGGCAGCCCCCAGCCCCAGAGGAGAAUGGCG
rnacentral:lncRNA from 1 species